rnacentral:rRNA from 1 species
CCUACGGGUGGCAGCAGUAGGGAAUCUUCCACAAUGGGCGAAAGCCUGAUGGAGCAACGCCGCGUGGGUGAAGAAGGUCUUCGGAUCUUAAAACCCUGUUGUUAGAGAAGAAAGUGCGUGAGAGUAACUGUUCACGUUUCGACGGUAUCUAACCAGAAAGCCACGGCUAACUACGUGCCAGCAGCCGCGGUAAUACGUAGGUGGCAAGCGUUAUCCGGAUUUAUUGGGCGUAAAGGGAACGCAGGCGGUCUGUUAAGUCUGAUGUGAAAGCCUUCGGCUUAACCGGAGUAGUGCAUUGGAAACUGGGAGACGUGAGUGCAGAAGAGGAGAGUGGAACUCCAUGUGUAGCGGUGAAAGGCGGAGAUAUAUGGAAGAACACCAGGGGCGAAAGCGGCUCUCUGGUCUGUAACUGACGCUGAGGUUCGAAAGCGUGGGUAGCAAACAGGAUUAGAUACCCCUGUAGUC